UACGUAGGGGGCUAGCGUUGUCCGGAAUCAUUGGGCGUAAAGAGCGUGUAGGCGGCCCGGUAAGUCCGCUGUGAAAGUCGGGGGCUCAACCCUCGAAUGCCGGUGGAUACUGUCGGGCUAGAGUGCGGAAGAGGCGAGUGGAAUUCCUGGUGUAGCGGUGAAAUGCGCAGAUAUCAGGAGGAACACCGAUUGCGAAGGCAGCUCGCUGGGACGUUACUGACGCUGAGGCGCGAAAGCUAGGGGAGCAAACGGG
rnacentral:rRNA from 1 species